rnacentral:snRNA from 1 species
AAUUUUCAGAUUUUUUAAACCAGUUCUUUAUCAGUUUAAUAUCUGAUAUGUCCCCUAUCUGAGGACUAUAUAUUAAAUGAAUUUUUGGAACAGGGAGAUGGAAUGGGAGCUUGCUCCAUCCACUCCAUGCAUCAAUCUGGUAUUGCAGUACCUCCAGGAACAGCACACACACC